AGACACAGGAGCAAGGAUCAACUGUAUAGGGAUCUGAGGGGCAACAUUUCCCCACACAGAGUCUUGCCCAGAGUAGGGGAAUCGAGGACUAGAGGACACGGGUUUAAGGAGAGAGACACAGGAGCGGGGAUCAACUGUAUAGGGAUCUGAGGGGCAACUUUUCCCCACACAGAGUCUUGCCCAGAGUAGGGGAAUCGAGGACUAGAGGACACGGGUUUAAGGAGAGAGACACAGGAGCGGGGAUCAACUUGAUAGUCCCAUUUUUCCCCAUACAGUCUCUUGCCCAGAGGACACGGGUUUAAGGAGAGAGACACAGGAGCAAGGAUCAACUGUAUAUGGAUCUGAGGGGCAACUUUUCCCCACACAGAGUCUUGGCCAGAGGACACGGGUUUAAGGUGAGAGACACAGGAGCGAGGAGCAACUGUAUAGGGAUCUGAGGGGCAACUUUCCCCCACACAGUCUCUUGCCCAGAGGACACGGGUUUAAGGUGAGAGACACAGGAGCGGGGAUCAACUGUAUAUGGAUCUGAGGGGCAACUUUUCCCCACACAGAGUCUUGCCCAAAGUAGGGGAAUCGAGGACUAGAGGACACGGGUUUAAGGUGAGAGACACGGGGGCGGGAAAAAUCGAAUAGGGAUCUGAGGGGCAACUUUUCCACACAGUCUCUUGCCCAGAGGACAUGGGUUUAAGGAGAGAGACACAGGAGCGGGGAUCAACUGUAUAUGGAUCUGAGGGGCAACUUUCCCCCACAGAGUCUCUUGCCCAG